UUCGCGGUGUGUGGUUGGGCCUGGGCUCCGCUCCUGGCGGCGGUGGUGGCUGCCCGUUGCCGUCGCAGCUAUAGGGGUGGGGCUUUCUUCGCCGUUGCUACUUCCACUCCACCCGGCGUUUGAGGUGGGGGAGCUCCUUGUUCCCUACGCUGAGGGCCUGCGGGGCGGUAGGAGGUGUCGCCAGGCCUGGAGCUGCGGACCAGCUUCUGCAGGCGUCGCUCACGGAAGUAAAGCGGAGUGACGCCGUGAGCCGCGGCGAAGCGUGCUGCAGCCCCAGAGUGACGCGUCAGUUAGUUAGCUGGAGCUGUCGUGCGCUACCGCAAGUGGCAUUUACCAGCUGUGAAUCAGAGUGUACCCUAGGGUCUGGAGCAGAACACUGAAAGAUGUAAAACAGUUCAAGUCUUCACUGUCAUAUUGUGUUAAGCACCUGUACAGAUCUGGGGACAGAAUUUUCUAAAGAGUCUAGGGAAGCUGUUGCUCCAGAUUGCUGGUUCCCAGAAGCCAAAUAAGGGAGCCCCUCUAAUGACGUUAGUAGGUUUCAGGAUGGAUCCAACAGCAGCUGGACUUCCAAGACUUUCAUGCUUCUCGAUGGAUACGGGGGGAUGACCACACCUUGAUGAAGGAGAAAGGAUGAGCUCUCUCACCAUCAGCUAGGCUACCUGCCAUGUCAACAUCCACAACCAUCUCAGAGCAUGGAGGCAGACAGAAAACAUGGAGGAGAAACAGUCUAAGCUUUACAUCAGACAUGCCCCAAGAUGAUGGCCAGCAUUGAUUGAGUAGUAAAUUAUUACCCCCUUGAAGCAAUGAGGAAACGAUGUAUAUGUUUUGUCCCUGAGGUGUGUCUCUAGGACAUAGUGCCUUCUGUGACUCCCACUCCCAUAAUGAAGGUUAAAAACCAACCUUUGCUUAGGGCUGUGCCCAAAGGUAUAGUCUACCUUUGGGAAGCAGAUUCAGGCUUUUAUUUCUGGCCUUCUGUAUGUAGUCAGCCAAGAUAAGUAGUGUGGGAGAGUGUAUGUAUCAGUGGAGGCCCUGUCCUCUGUUGUAGUCAUGCUAGGCAAAGGCUGACUAGUAUUCAGAUAUUACUGAAUCAGCUUUGCAUCAUUGUACUUGGUUGUGGGUGAAACGUUGAGGCUUCUGGGGCUCUAGUUUCACAGAAAUGCAGAUGACGUCAUAGUUUUGUUGCUGCUUUUGCUUUCCCAGAGGUGAGCUGAGCUUUCAAUUUCAAUGAGGCAGACAACCAAUGCAAAAUGAUAGUGAGCAGAUCAGGCUGCAGAAAACUUUCCGUUUAUAAGACUUAUUCUGUAAGAGAUUGUAUGUUCAUUAAAGCAGUCAUGAUUUGGGCGAUGGUCUUUCGAUCCUGCUCUGCUUCCUGUAUGUAUGUGGUUGUGGAAGCUAUAUGUAUUUUCAUGUCUAGACUUUUCCAAUAUUCUCUCAGAUUUGAAUUUGGCUGCUAAUGCACAUGUAGUAGUAUAUCUCAGGGCCAUUAUACAGUGCUGUUGGUUUCUACAUAACACGUAGGAAAUGCUUCUAGGAGUGUUUCAUUGACUCUGUAUGUGGCCAAAUAAAGCUCUAAGAUAAUGUGAAUACAUCUACCAGUACUAUUUGUUACUUAGGAUAUUCAGUAAAUAUUACUUGUUUGCCAUAAUUUUCUACAAGGCUUCUGUGCUGUAUUCCUACAUUAUAUGAAUUUUACAGUGCAAUAUGUCUGCCUUAAACUAGGAAGUAUGUAUAGACUUCUCACUUGCUUCAACACUCAUUUCAUCCUGCUAAUUCUGUAGUUCAAGGCUACUGGGUGGCUCGGGGCAGUGUCCUGGUUUUGGCAGGGACAGAGUUAAUUUUCUUCCUAGCAUAGAAUCAUAGAAUGGUUUGGGUUGGAUGGGGCCUCCAAGAUCAUCUAGUUCCACCCGCCCUGACACGGGCAGGGACACCCUCCACUAGACCAGGCUGUCCAAAGCCCCAUC